rfam:Culex pipiens quinquefasciatus supercont3.25 genomic scaffold, whole genome shotgun sequence.
GGACCCGUGGUGUAGAGGUAAGCGUGAUUGCCUCUCACCCAGUCUGCCUGGGUUCGAUCCCAGAAGGUCCC